AUGUCCACUAACCAUAAACAAGCCUCUGCUAUUCCAUUCCCUUCCAUCACUUGGCUGUUUGUGUCUGUUCCCCUUCCUCCAUACCUUGAAUCUGUGAAAGAAUAUCUGAGCAGCUGGGACAACUCCAUCACUGAUGAGAAAGAAGAAUCUCUGAGGGAUCACGUGGGAGCAGACGAUUUUGUCAGGGCAAGUACCAGAAGCCUCAUACGGGGAAGGAUCCAUACAUAAUCCAUCCUUGACUCUUUCCAUCCUGAUUCUGUCUAACUGAAAGAACAAUGUAAAACUGUUUCUGUAAAACAACAGAAAAACAAAACAAGCAACAAAGCCAACAAAAUUAAUCUGCUUCUACACUGUUUUUCACAUCAUUAUCUUUGUAUUAUGUUUCUUCUAUAGAUUUUUUGUAUCAAGAUGAGGUAAUUGCUAAAUCAAGGAUAAGUGUACUGAAUAUUGGAGAACGGAAACUCCCAAGGAAGAGGAGUGAAGCAAUGCCUGGUAGGGUGGAUACGAAAAGGCACUCUGGUGAUGGGGAAAAAUGAACUCUGGGGAAAAAUGAAAUCGGGAACAGUUGGAGAUGGGAGAAAACCAAGAAAAGUAGAAGAGACUGAGAAUUUAAACAGAUCUAUUAGACAAUCUUCCUAGUUUUUGUGCAUCUCCCUGCUUGCUUCCUUCUCCUCUACCUCUUUAGCAGUAGUUAAAACAAAGAAAGCAAAACAAACCAACAAAAAACCACAAUUGUUUGUAAGAUUGUCUUGACUGUUAAUCACAAUUCUAUUAUUUUCGAAGCAGUACAUACAUGUUACCUUACUCUCGCUGAGGGGUGUCUAAUAUCAGAAAUAUUCCUAUUGAUAUUGGUCACAUUUUUCAGGAAGUGCAAUUUUAGAUAAGUACUUGUAUUAUUUCCACCUUUCUUGCAUUAUUUCAUGGGACUCAUUUCACAGGACUGCUUGCUCUACCUCUUAAAAGCUCACUUGCACUACGUGGCUCUAUCGAACUCUCCUUGUGAAUCCCUAUUUAUAACAACCUAAGUUUAGAAAUAUUUGUUCACAUAUUAGCAGAGGUAUGACGUGAGAAGCUGUUUGCAUUUCUGUAUCAGCAGAUUAGGCAUCAGCUAUUUUCUCUCAUACAUGGUACAGUAAGCUGCAGUGUUGCAAUACUUUAUCAGAAAGAAAAGGAGAUACACUGGGUGUGCAACUGGGACUGCAUCCAAGAGAUGAGAGUGCUGUUUUCG
rnacentral:lncRNA from 1 species